rnacentral:rRNA from 1 species
CCCUUAGAUGUCCUGGGCCGCACGCGCGUUACACUGACGCAUUCAACGAGCUUAUAACCUUGGCCGAGAGGCCUGGGCAAUCUUGUUAACGUGCAUCGUGAUAGGGAUAGAUUAUUGAAAUUAUUAAUCUUGAACGAGGAAUUCCUAGUAAACGCAGAUCAUCAAUCUGCAUUGAUUACGUCCCUGCCCUUUGUACACACCGCCCGUCGCACCUACCGAUUGGGUGGUCCGGUGAGGCUUUGGGAUCUGAGCGGAAAGAGCGUUUCGCUGUUUCUGCUCGGAAAACUCAGUCGAACCUUAUCAUUUAGAGGAAGGAGAAGUCGUAACA